rnacentral:rRNA from 1 species
GACAGAGGGUGCAAACGUUGUUCGGAAUUACUGGGCGUAAAGCGCGUGUAGGCGGCUAAGUAAGUCGGGCGUGAAAUCCCACGGCUCAACCGUGGAAGUGCACUCGAAACUGCAUAGCUAGAGUCCUGGAGAGGAAGGUGGAAUGCUUGGUGUAGAGGUGAAAUUCGUAGAUAUCAAGCGGAACACCGGUGGCGAAGGCGGCCUUCUGGACAGUGACUGACGCUGAGACGGCGAAAAGCGGUGGGGAGACCAAAC